rnacentral:tRNA from 1 species
GGGUGCGUAGUUUAAUGGUAAAAUAGUCGGCUCCAGACCGAUUGCCGGGCGUUCGACUCGCCCCGCGCCCA